CAGGGGUAUAGCAGGGCCAAGGCCAGCCUGGAAAACCAUACCCUGGGGUCCUACAUGCAGUCCAGCCUCCUCCUGGCCACACAAGAAAACAGAGGCCCAAAUGGGAAGGGACCUGCCCAAGGCUACAAGUUUGACAGCUGGAAAACUUAAAAAUUACAUAUGUGCUUGUAUUUUGAUGGUCAGCGCUGGCAUAGAAAUCAAGAGGACAUGCUCUCUACUGCCACACUCUUGAGCUUCAAAUUUUACUCUGCAUUCUGCCACUUACCAGCUGUGAGACCUUGGACAAGUUACAUUACUCUCUGUCCCUCAGUUUCCUCAUCUGUAAAAAUAAGAUAAUAGUACCUACCUCUCAUGGCUGUGGUGUAGAUUUAAAUGUGCAUGGCCCAGACAGAGCACUCAAUAAAGAUCAGCUAUCUCAUGA